AUUGAACGCUGGCGGCAGGCCUAACACAUGCAAGUCGAGCGGAUGAAGGGAGCUUGCUCCUGGAUUCAGCGGCGGACGGGUGAGUAAUGCCUAGGAAUCUGCCUGGUAGUGGGGGAUAACGUCCGGAAACGGGCGCUAAUACCGCAUACGUCCUGAGGGAGAAAGUGGGGGAUCUUCGGACCUCACGCUAUCAGAUGAGCCUAGGUCGGAUUAGCUAGUUGGUGGGGUAAAGGCCUACCAAGGCGACGAUCCGUAACUGGUCUGAGAGGAUGAUCAGUCACACUGGGACUGAGACACGGUCCAAACUCCUACGGGAGGCAGCAGUGGGGAAUAUUGGACAAUGGGCGAAAGCCUGAUCCAGCCAUGCCGCGUGUGUGAAGAAGGUCUUCGGAUUGUAAAGCACUUUAAGUUGGGAGGAAGGGCAGUAAGUUAAUACCUUGCUGUUUUGACGUUACCAACAGAAUAAGCACCGGCUAACUUCGUG
rnacentral:rRNA from 1 species